AACCCCUUUCAGCCUCCUCCGUUGCUUCCUCCCAUACUGCCACCACCAGCUCCACUUAUUCCAAACCCAUUUCAGCCUCCUCCAGCUCCACUUAUUCCAAACCCCUUUCAGCCUCCUCCAGCUCCUCUUAUUCCAAACCCUUUUCAGCCUCCUCCAGCACCACCGGCUCCACUUAUUCCAAACCCUUUCCAGCCUCCUCCCGCACCUCCAGCUCCAUUUAUCCCGAACCCCUUCCAGCCUCCUCCGGCACCUCCAGCACCUCCAGCACCAUGGUUUCAUCUUCCACCGAUUCCAGGACUAACUCCACCACCAUCGCCACCACCUCCACCUCCACCAACCUUCCCGUUUCCUCUUCCCCCAUUCCAUUUCCCACCUGUACCGCCUUUCCCUGGUAUCCCCCCUGCCUCUGCCUCUACU
rnacentral:lncRNA from 1 species